ACUUGGUGCGGUGGCAUCUACCUGUAGUCCCAGCUACUCGGGAGGCUGAGGCUAGAGGAUUGCUUGAGUCCAGCAGUUCUGGGCUGUAGUGUGCUAUGCUGAUAAGGUGUCCGCACUAAGUUCAGCAUCAGUAUGGUGACCUCUUGGGAGUGGGGGACCACCAGGUUGCCUAAGGAGGGGUGAACCAGCUCAGGUAGGAAACAGAACAGGUCAAAACUCCCGUGCUGAUCAGUAGUGGGAUUGCACUUGUGAAUACCCACUGUACUCCAACCUGGGCAACAUAGCAAGAUCCCGUCUCUU
ensembl:misc_RNA Metazoa_SRP Metazoan signal recognition particle RNA